GGCAGUGGUAGCUCAAUGGUUAAGGCAUUUGGCUACUGAUUAGAAGACUGUAAGUUCAAAACCCAGCACUGCCA